UGACAGACCAACAUCUAUGACAAUGCCA
rnacentral:piRNA from 1 species